ensembl:lncRNA
CCAAGUGCAACCCAUGGACACUGAUUGGUUCAGAUCUUCUAUAAAUGACAUGACUGGGUCACAGGUGAUCACAGUCACCAAUCUUUUUUAAAGGUUGAUAACGAUGGGAAAUAUUUACACUAAACUAAUUUUUUUUUUUGAGACAUCAAAUAUGACUUAUAAAGAAAAUAAAUAUUAUGAAAAAGUGCUAAAAAUUCCAUACUUUUCUUCUAAUUUUAAAUCAAAGAAAAAUUUUGAUUAUAUUUUAGAAAAAUUAAAACCUACAUUCGAUGGUAUGCUAAUCAAAGAAGGGAAAAUUUAUUAUAAUAAUGUCAACAACAGAAAUGUAACUUAUACAUCACCUUGUUAUAUUUUAAUUUGGGAUUCUGAUCGUCGUAUUUUUAGCCGAGGUCUCGGGUUUUAUAUUGGAUCUGGAGUUAUAAUUACAGCCAAACAUGUUUUAAAGGCAUACAAAAAUAAAAACGUAUUUGUUCUUUUCCCAAAUAAAAUGUUUUAUUUAGCCUACAGUAUUAAUACUGAUAACAUCUAUUUUGACAAUGAUUAUGAUAUUGCUAGAGUUAAAUUGGAAAUCAGUUUUGAUAAACUACCAAAUAUAAAACCUGUAGAAAUAGACUUGAAUAGAAAUGAAAACAAAAAUCUUUAUUUUUACAAACUAAAAGCAGGGCGUUUUGUUAAAGUGAAAUGUAAAAAAACUAAAGAAUUAAAUCUUAAAGAAUUUACUCUUUCUAAAACGGGAAAUGAUGGAGAUAGCGGGACCCCUAUUUUUACAAGUUCUGGUAAAUGUGUUGCAAUGUAUAUUGGUGCAUUUACAAAAACAAACAGAAAAUGUAUACUUGGCAUAGGUUUACAAUUUGAUAGUUCUUUAAAGACAUCUCUUCAUUGAAUUUUCCUCUGUAGUUUAUAAUAUUCUAAUGCUUUAAAAAAAAAAAAAAAAAUCUCUUUUUCAUCACUGUUUCUCAACCCUGCUCCAAUUUCCCAAGCUCACUAAUGAGCUGGCUAAUUUUAUAGUGAGCGGGGAAGCAAAAAACAGGGUCACCAGGGGCAGGAUUGAGAAACACUGUAUCCCAUCAACAUAAAUUUGGAAGUGCAAAAAUGCUGUAACACAAUUGGCAUGGUUACAGUACCAUAAAGUGCUAAAUAUUUCCCAUUGUUUGGCUGUCUGGAGAGGAUCUUGUGCCUUGCCCAAAACAAAAUCUUAAGCACCUCCAGACUGCAUAUGUCACAUUUGGGUCAAGUUACAAUCAUGAUUCCUCUCCAUAAAAUGGUGGUGGCCCGGACUCACUUGGUGAGAAAGACAUUCCACAUCCCUAUCUUUCUUAAUAAUUUUCUUAAUAAAUGCACCUGUCUGGGGAGAGAUUGUGUCUUGCCUAACUCAAGAGUUCAGAAGCAAUGAAUUUAAAAAUAAAUAAAUACAUUUUACUAAUUUACUAACUGUAAUUAUUCACUAUUUGCAUGAAAUCAUGUGAAAGCUUUUUUUCAGUGAUAUUAUUUCAAUUGCAUAGUUUUGACUGAAUAUAUGUUACAUAUAACAGAUAUAUUUCUAGAUGAACAUAACUGGGACUAGUUAACAGGCUACACAUCUUGGACAUAACAUUGUUAACUAUGUUAUUUAUUUACACUUCUGCCACUUUUUCUGUAUUUUCUGUCAUCCCUUAGAUCAAAAGAGACGCAACAAUAUGUUGAAACAGGGCAUAGUGUAAGAAAAUAUUUUAUUACUAUUAGAAUCUUAUAAUCAUGUACCAAGAAUCAGACAAUUUCAGAAAAUUAUUAAAUGAUUUAACAAAAAUAUAUUUAACAAAAACUAAUCUUAAAUCUUUCUUUCUCCAGAAGCACAACACCCUUACGCCAUUGCUCGGUGUCAUGUUGAACCACCUUUGGAUGACACGCGUCACUUUUGGGUCAAAAGAUAUUCCUCAUGAUAUUGAAGAUAUUUCUAUUCCUCAUGAUAUUGAAGAUAUUUCUAUUCCUCAUGAUAUUGAAGAUAUUUCUAUUCCUCAUGAUAUUGAAAAUAUUCAUCAUGAUACUGAAGAUAUUCCUCAUGAAGUUAUUCCUCAUGAAGUUACUUUCUAAAUAAACAAAAUGAGAUUCUAAAUAAAUGUACAAAAAAAUUUUUUUCACUUUUUUCCCCCCAAACCUUAAGAAUCCUUUACAUCAAAUCUUAGCCCUAAGCAUCUAUCUUUCCCAAAAUCCAUAAUUAGAGCUGUCUCCUGUCCUCCAAAAUGUUCUUUGGUGCCUUCAGCCAUUGUAUGUUUAUUUACAAUUGAAAUUUAAUGAUUCUCUGUCAGAAUAAUUUUCAAAACACUUUCAAUGAUGAUCCACCAGAUGGAGACAAAGAUUGAUUUGUAAAACAGAAAGUUUUUGUCUAGACGGGACUAGUUUUGUAAACUACGUUUGAGUUUCGAUUCUUACCACAUGACGUCUGCGAUUUUCAUGUACCAAUUCGGACGGGACUAACAUCUCCGUGUUUAUUACAGAGGUGGGAGGGUCUGUUUUGUGCAUCUGGGCGUCACAGAGAUCACGCGCUCAGUAUGCGUGCAUUGCAUAUAACGUUAGUCAUUCGGAUCGAUUACCAUUAGUAUUAUUACACAAUAAAUGCUAAAAACUAAAUGGCUAGUAUAGCAAAACCAUGUUAAUGUGUGGUUUCUUUAGUUUAACUUCAUUAAUUACAUCUGUAAUUAAAACAUAAUGUAACUGAGUGCAUAAAU